UAGGGAAUCUUCGGCAAUGGACGAAAGUCUGACCGAGCAACGCCGCGUGAGUGAAGAAGGUUUUCGGAUCGUAAAACUCUGUUGGUAGAGAAGAACGUUGGUGAGAGUGGAAAGCUCAUCAAGUGACGGUAACUACCCAGAAAGGGACGGCUAACUACGUGUCCAG
rnacentral:rRNA from 1 species